rnacentral:tRNA from 1 species
GUGGGGUUGUAACUCAGUGGUAGAGUGCUUGCCUCAUAUGUGUGAGGCACUGGGUUUGAUUCUCAGCACCACA